CUUUAUGGCAACUUCGACGGCAUUUUAAUCAAAAUAAAACAUCAUCAUGUCGCCCAUAUCGAGUGGUGAUGCAUUCCAUAUCUGUUGCUGUGUGCCAGUUGGACCCAAAAGAGAAGAUUUUUAGUCGUCGUUAAAAUACUGACCGAUCUAUGGGUCCGUUUGGCCACUCAGUUGGAAAAAGUUGAUUUUUGGAAAGGUUAAAAGAGAUCUUUUCCUCCUGCGGAGUGCUGUUUGCUUAUGAAGAUGAUGUGCGCUGCGAAUGAGCAGAAUUAGUGGAAAGUGUUGAAAAGCACAGCAAAGUUGGAAUGUUUGCUUUUGUGAAUGAGAUGAGAUGUCUGACUCCCAUCGUGGAGCCCAAUUUGCUCCUUAGCCUCAAUGUGUCUUUGUGAGUGGACACACGCAUUCGGGAGACACACAGCAACACACAUCCUGCGGAUGAGCUCCCAUUUCACACACUUUGCGAGCAUCACUUACCUUGGCACUUAGAGCCAUCAACGAUUGGAAUACACUCACCAAAAAAAAACACACAGAAACACAUUCAAGCACACACAGCACCGUCAUUCAUCCGUGUAUCUCUAUCUAAACUUUUUUUUUUUUUUUCCUGGAGCCAUGUCCUCAAAUGGAAUUAAGAUCUUUUGGCUUUAAAAUGGAAAGACGUUGGAUUUAGAUGUUUUCAAAGCAUGCCUCUGUUAGGGGGCGGCCCGGUAGUCCAGUGGUUAGCACGUCGGCUUCACAGUGCAGAGGUACCGGGUUCGAUUCCAGCUCCGGCCUCCCUGUGUGGAGUUUGCAUGUUCUCCCCGGGCCUGCGUGGGUUUUCUCCGGGUGCUCCGGUUUCCUCCCACAUUCCAAAAACAUGCAUGGCAGGCUGAUUGAACACUCUAAAUUGUCCCUAGGUGUGAGUGUGGGCGUGGAUGGUUGUUCGUCUCUGUGUGCCCUGCGAUUGGCUGGCAACCGGUUCAGGGUGUCCCCCGCCUACUGCCCCAAGACGGCUGGGAUAGGCUCCAGAGUCCCCAGUGACGACAAGACGACUAGAUGGAUAGAUGACCCGUAAAGUUUUGUGUUUUUUGUUAUUGUAAAGUGUCCUUGUCUUGAAAGGCGCUUAUAAAUAAAAUGUAUUAUUAUUAUUAUUAUUAUUAUUACAUUUACACCCAACAGUCCCUUUCUCUCUCUCUCUCACACACACACACACACACACACACACACACACACACACACACACACACACACA